GAGAACCGCUCCUCCAGUUUCCUGACUGAGCCUGCCUCUCCGGGAACUGGACACUUGGGAUCUAUUUUCAAGCUAGAGCAAGCUCCAGUUUAACACUGCAGAGAGUCUGGAUUUUCCCGUCAGCCCUCACAGAAGCGAUCCUUGCGCCAUCUUCUUACCCUUCUGGGACAGAUGCUAUUAAAUCCUGCACGUUAAAAUCUGAAGUCCAAGCAAAACGCUGAUAGAAGCUUUCCAAGACUUCUUGGCUUCCGUGGGAAGGAGCGUUUAAAACACAACCCGCCCCAGCUGUGGGCGGUUUUCCUCUGCUUUCAUUCAGUGUGUUCCUUCAGGUACAAAGGCCAAACCAGGAAACAUUCCAGUGGGAAAUACCGUUGAUUGUCACCUUGUCACUGAAGAGGAUGGAAUCACUAGCUGGAUGGAUAGUAGAUUCUUAUUAUAAAUUGUGUAUCCGAGUAAAGCUGUGCAAAUGGUUUAAA